rnacentral:lncRNA from 1 species
GAAACGCAACAAAUUGGUUAAUCACAUUAACCCGUUAACUCUUCGCAAUUACGAGACAAAACGACUCAACAUCGAAAUCAGGCAGAAGCACACAAGUAUACUCAUUCUAGACUCUUAGCGUCAUGUUGUCGGCCGCCAACACAACCACCUAAAGCCAAGAACUAAUACCACUUGAAUCCGUCUCUAUCAACAACUAGAGACAUAUUACUAACAACUUCAACCCAAUCGAAUCAACUUCCGCCACCAGCAUAGGUUCAUAUCUCACUCACGCGCCUAUA